rnacentral:piRNA from 1 species
UGACUCAGCAGAGCUCAGAACCUACUCUCCGC